rnacentral:rRNA from 1 species
UACGUAGGGGGCGAGCGUUGUCCGGAUUUAUUGGGCGUAAAGCGCACGCAGGCGGUGCGGUAAGUUUCGAGUGACAGGUGGUGGCUUAACUGCCACAGGACUCGGAAAACUGCUGCACUUGAGGGCUUGAGAGGGACGCGGAAUUCCAGGUGGAGCGGUGAAAUGCGUAGAGAUCUGGAAGAACACCAAAGGCGAAGGCAGCGUCCUGGCAAGUCACUGACGCUCAGGUGCGAAAGCUAGGGGAGCGAACGGG